rnacentral:lncRNA from 1 species
ACGCGGGGAGGCGACGCUGAGGCGGGCGGAAGGGCGGCGCGGGGCGGUGGCUCACGGACCCGGGUCUUGCGUGUCGGACGCCUGCCUCUGAUGCUCAGGAGACUCGACCUGAUCAUAGUCUCUCUGCUCCUUCCUCCCCUUAAUAGGCCCCGAACCAUGGAGUACAUGACAGAAUCUGUUGACCGCAGCCCGGGACACAUCUUGUGCUGUGAAUGUGGUGUCCCAAUUAGUCCAAAUCCUGCCAAUAUUUGUGUGGCCUGUUUACGAAGUAAAGUUGACAUCAGCCAAGGUGUUCCAAAGCAGGUCUCCAUUUCUUUCUGCAAACAAUGUCAAAGAUAUUUUCAGCCACCAGCAUCAUGGGUACAGUGUGCUUUAGAAUCCAGGGAACUUCUUGCUUUGUGUUUGAAAAAAAUUAAAGCUCCUCUGAGUAAGGUUCGGCUUGUUGACGCAGGCUUUGUUUGGACUGAGCCUCAUUCCAAGAGACUUAAAGUUAAAUUGACAAUUCAGAAAGAGGUGAUGAAUGGUGCUAUCCUGCAGCAAGUGUUUGUGGUGGAUUAUGUUGUUCAGUCCCAAAUGUGUGGAGACUGCCAUAGAGUAGAAGCUAAGGAUUUCUGGAAGGCUGUGAUCCAAGUCAGGCAGAAGACUCUGCACAAGAAAACAUUCUACUAUCUGGAACAGUUAAUUCUGAAAUAUGGAAUGCAUCAGAAUACUCUGCGUAUCAAGGAGAUUCAUGAUGGUCUGGAUUUUUAUUAUUCUUCAAAACAGCAUGCUCAGAAGAUGGUGGAGUUUCUUCAGGGUACAGUUCCCUGUAGAUACAAAUCAUCACAAAGAUUGAUCUCCCAGGAUAUUCAUAGUAACACAUACAAUUACAAGAGUACUUUUUCUGUGGAAAUUGUUCCAAUAUGCAAGGAUAAUGUUGUCUGUCUGUCACCAAAACUGGCACAGAGCCUUGGAAAUAUGAACCAGAUAUGUAUUUGUAUACGAGUAACUAGUGCCAUCCAUCUCAUAGACCCAAAUACCUUACAAGUUGCAGACAUUGAUGGGAACACCUUCUGGAGUCAUCCUUUCAAUAGUUUAUGCCAUCCUAAACAGCUAGAAGAAUUUAUUGUGAUAGAAUGCAGCAUAGUCCGAGAUCUGAAGCGAAACGCGGGGGCUGGAGUGAUAUCAAAGAAGCACACCCUUGGGGAAGUCUGGAUCCAGAAGACAUCUGAAAUGGAUACAGAUAAACAGUAUUUUUGCCGGACUCACUUGGGACAUCUUUUAAAUCCUGGAGACCUGGUGUUGGGGUUUGAUUUGGCCAAACUGUAACUUAAAUGAUGAGCAUGUCAACAAAAUGAAAUCAGAUAGAGUUCCAGAUGUGGUCUUGAUUAAGAAGAGCUAUGACCGUACCAAACGCCAGCGCCGUAGAAACUGGAAACUGAAAGAGCUUGCAAGAGACAGAGAAGACAUGGACACAGAUGAUGAAAGGCAAUAUCAAGAUUUUCUUGAAGAUCUUGAAGAAGAUGAGACAAUUAGAAAAAAUGUCAACAUUUACAGAGAUUCAACCGUCCCUGUGGAAAGUGACACAGAUGAUGAAGGAGCGCCUCGAAUUAGUCUGGCUGAGAUGCUUGAAGACCUUCGUAUUUCUCAAGAUGCUACUGGUGAAGAAGGUGCAUCAAUGAUGUCAUGAUGAGUCAUAUGCUGUUUGCAUAUCUGUGAACUUAGGAAGUUGGCAAAAUAAUCUUGAUUGUAUAGUACAUGUAUUCCCUUAUAUUUUGGGGUUUUUUUGUUUGUUUUUUUCCGGAGCUGAGGACUCCCUUAUAUUUUGAAAGGAGCAAUUUUACCUUAAACUUGAAUAAAUUACUAUUUUGAUUGUUCACUUAAAG